AUCCAAUCUAAACAGAGAAGAAGAUGAGGGGAGGGCUGGCCCAGGCGCCCGACGGCGGAGGUCGGGGGUGUGCUGUAUGAGGUCGACCUCCGCGCGGGGCGCACAAGGGAGUCGGUCUGCGGUGGGGAUGGGUACGCAGGGGAGCCGGACGACGGCAGGAUCGGGCGUCAAGAACUCGGUGCAGGCCCCUCCCCUUCGAGCCUCCAGAUCCGUCGGUGGUGGCAGAGGCAGCGGACGGGAUUGCGGUUGGGCGGUGGCCUACGGAACGCCCCAGGCACGUGAUGGCGGCUAAUGGCGAGCUGCACGGACGAGCUGCUCCGGGAAAGCGAAGCGAAAAUGAUGAGCCCCUGCCGCACCGGCAUCGCCGCCGCCGACUGGCCCCAUCCCCGGGCGCGACGCUGAAGCUUUACUCGACGGUGCAGCGCAGGCAGAUGAAAUUGGCCAGAGUUGGGGAUGGAGAAAGAUGAACACGACGUCAAGCCGUGAGGGGAUGGAGGCUCUGUUCGGCUGUUCCUUCGUAGUUCGUAUCGUCAGGCGUUGGACGUUCUGUUCGGCUGUUCCUUCGUACGCACUGUACGGUUGCUGAAGCUGUUCCAACUGAAGAUUAAAAUCUUGUAAACCCAGGCUUUCUAUUUCAGAAAAUUACAUUAUUGUUACGUGUACCUGUUGGUGUCGUAAAACAUGAUGCGCUUCUAAAGCUUGUUCCUUGCA